rnacentral:ncRNA from 11 species
GCUGAUAUGGCUCAGUUGGUAGAGCGCACCCUUGGUAGGGGUGGGGUCCCCAGUUCGACUCUGGGUAUCAGCA